GGACCCUAGAGGGGCGGGGCCUAGGCCGUGGCCCUGGUGGCCAGGUUGAGGCCCCGCCUUUCCCUUCCGGCUGCUGCUCCUCUUCCCUACGCGGCCCGAGGAUCAUCUACCCUUUGGUGCAGAUAAAAAAGCAAGUAGCAGUUGGACAGAGUAACCUUAACACCACAACUGAUCAGUGUACAGUAGAACAUUUCACUGAGAAGACCACCAGAGAGGUAUUUACCAUAAAGAUGGUGUUCCAGUUUUUUUGGAGAAGAAUGGCAUUGAAACAGAUUUCCAGCAACAAGUGCUUUGGGGGAUUGCAGAAAGUUUUUGAACAUGACAGUGUUGAACUGAAAUGCAAAAUGAAAUUUGCUAUCUAUUUACCACCAAAGGCAGAAACUGGAAAAUGCCCUGCACUAUAUUGGCUGUCUGGUUUAACUUGCACAGAACAAAAUUUUAUAUCGAAAUCUGGUUAUCAUCAAGCUGCCUCGGAACAUGGCCUUGUCGUCAUUGCUCCAGAUACCAGCCCUCGUGGCUGCAAUAUUAAAGGAGAAGAUGAGACCUGGGACUUUGGCACUGGUGCUGGAUUUUAUGUGGAUGCCACUGAAGAUCCUUGGAAAACUAACUACAGGAUGUACUCGUAUGUAACGGAGGAGCUUCCACAACUCAUAAAUACCAAUUUUCCAGUGGAUCCCCAAAAGAUGUCUAUUUUUGGCCACUCCAUGGGAGGCCAUGGAGCUCUGAUCUGUGCUUUGAAGAAUCCUGGAAAAUACAAAUCUGUGUCAGCAUUUGCUCCAAUUUGCAACCCAGUGCUCUGUCCUUGGGGCAAAAAAGCCUUCAGUGGAUAUUUGGGAACAGAUCAAAGUAAAUGGGAGGCUUAUGAUGCUACCCAUCUUGUGAAGGCCUGCCCAGGUACUCAGCUGGAUAUACUAAUUGAUCAAGGAAAAGAUGACCAGUUCCUUUCAGAUGGACAGCUACUGCCUGAUAACUUCAUAGCUGCCUGUACAGAAAAGAAAAUCCCUGUUGUUUUCAGAUUACAAGAGGGUUAUGAUCAUAGCUACUACUUCAUUGCAACCUUUAUUACCAAUCACAUCAGACAUCAUGCAAAAUACCUGAAUGCUUGAAAAACUUUGGGUAAUCUGUCUUCACUUUUAGGAUUGCCUUUGUCUUUAUCUGUAGUUUCACUGCAGAUAUAGAUUGGUUUUUACUUAUCCUGCUUGAAAUGCGUUGUCUUCCUCAAUCUGAGCAUUCAAAUCAAUUUUAUCAAUUCUGGAAAGUUCUCAAUCACUAUCUCUUUAUAUAUUGCCUCUCCUAUAUUAUAUCUGUUCUCCUCUGAAUACUAAGAGGAUAAACUAAGAGUAUUAAAAAAAUGUUCAAAUAGCUUCCUGCCAGUUCAGAUCACUUGCCACCAAAUAAGUUGCCAAAAAAGCUUCCAGGCUUCACAUUUCAAAGCUUAUUUUGUAACACUGGAUGGUAAACCCAUGCAUGGUUGGGUGUAAUCCUGAGGAAUUUGUGGGGUCUGGGUGGUGGAUACCUUCCUUCAGUGAGGAACUGUUUUUCAUCUCCCUGGUGUCCUGGAGUGUGACGAACCUGAGAAACUUUAAAAAACGUCAUCUGGGUUAGCUCUGCUGGGAAACCCUUCUGCAUGGUGAAAAGGACAUAGGCCUGACAUAGCUGAACUUGACUCUGCCUUGCUCUCUCACCUGCUGUGACCUUGAACGAGUUACUUGAAUACUCCGAGUCUCAGUUUCUCCUUGUUAAUUUGCACUCUUAGAAGUGAUAGAAGCCCAGCUCAAGUUGAUUUGAUGCAAAGUCAUAGCCUCUUGGAGGCACUCAUGGAAGGUUUGACUACCUAAGCUUCAGAAAUACAGGACUCUUUACUGCUGGAUCCAAGAAUGCAAACAGCAGGAUUUUCUUUGCUACUUCUCCCUGCGUGUCAUUUUUAUCCUCUAGGUGUUUUCCAGGUUUUAUAUCUUCUGUCUUCAGUCACCAGGAAAGAAUUAAAAUCCUGGAAGAGCCUUAUUGGUCAAUUGUGAAUAAGAGGGCUGCUCCUGAACCAGGUGGGCAGCAUCAGUUAAGAACCACAUAGAGAAUGCCCUGGUGGUACAAUGGUUAGGGCUCUGCGCUCCCCCUGCAGGGGCCACAGGUUCAAUCCCUCGAUGGGGAACUAAGAUCCCGCAUGCCAUGCAGUGCAGCCAAAAAAAAAAUAAAAAAUCAAACCCAUACAAAACCUCAUGGUGUAC